GAUGAUUGUCAUGGUUCCCAAUGUAUUUGUGAGUGAUUUGGGAGAGUUUGAGACUCUUGAAGACUUUAAAAACCAUUAGAUUGAUGUUGGUCAAAAAUUUGUAUUUCGAGCAUCAGAGGCAAUAUGGAUAGUUCUAUUAGAUUUGAAAUAUCAAUUUUGAGUUUGUAGCAAUGGUAGUUCAGGUUCAGAGCCUUUAUUUUGUAUUUCAAUCCUUCAUUUGAAAAAUAAGUAAAAGUACCUAGAUAGGGUCUCAACGGAUAAUUUGUUGUAUAAAACUUCUUUUCCAAAAUUCGAUAUUUACAUUGUGUUCUGAACAUCAAAAAAAUCCUUGAAGAAUAUAUGAUUUACUUCUGUGGGGUCCUAAAUGAAUCUUGAGGUUUAAAUUGGUAUAAUUUCUCUAAAGAUUCCAACUGCUGGUGCAAUAUUUUCUAUUACAUCGGGCCCUAUAUUAGGAUCAUGUGGACACGGGUUGUGAUUGCAUACCAUGAUGAUAGCCUUCAUAGCAAUUGUAUGAUGGUGGUACUGUGAUUGUGAUAGGUAAUCGAUAGACCAGGUCGGAUUAACCAAUGCGGUCACGAGGCCUUCCUCUUGCAAUUAC
rnacentral:lncRNA from 1 species